rnacentral:rRNA from 1 species
UACGGGGGGGGCAAGCGUUGUUCGGAAUUACUGGGCGUAAAGGGCUCGUAGGUGGCCAACUAAGUCAGACGUGAAAUCCCUCGGCUUAACCGGGGAACUGCGUCUGAUACUGGAUGGCUGGAGUAUGGGAGAGGGAUGCGGAAUUCCAGGUGUAGCGGUGAAAUGCGUAGAUAUCUUGAGGAACAUCGGUGGCGAAGGCGGCAUCCUGGACCGAUAUUGACGCUGAGGCGCGAAAGCCAGGGGAGCAAACGGG